rnacentral:rRNA from 1 species
AGUGAACGCUGGCGGUAGGCCUAACACAUGCAAGUCGAACGGCAGCACAGUAAGAGCUUGCUCUUACGGGUGGCGAGUGGCGGACGGGUGAGGAAUACAUCGGAAUCUACUUUUUCGUGGGGGAUAACGUAGGGAAACUUACGCUAAUACCGCAUACGACCUACGGGUGAAAGCAGGGGAUCUUCGGACCUUUUGCGAUUGAAUGAGCCGAUGUCGGAUUAGCUAGUUGGCGGGGUAAAGGCCCACCAAGGCGACGAUCCGUAGCUGGUCUGAGAGGAUGAUCAGCCACCCUGGAAGUGAGAAACGGUCCAGACUCCUACGGGAGGCAGCAGUGGGGAAUAUUGGGCAAUGGGCGAAAGCCUGAUCCAGCAAUACCGCGUGAGUGAAGAAGGCCUUCGGGUUGUAAAGCCCUUUUGUUGGGAAAGAAAAACAGCAGGUUAAUACGCCGCUGUUCUGACGGUACCCAAAGAAUAAGCACCGGCUAACUUCGUG